ACCAUAAACAUCAUCUAGUUCCAACCCCACUGCCAAUCUUCUAUUUGACCAGGUUACUCAAAGCCCCCCCACAACCUGGCCUUGCUUGGGCAUCCCCAGCUUCUUUGGAUAAGCUGUUCCAGUGUCUCACCACCCUCACAGUGAAGAAUUUCUUCCUAAUAUCUAAUCUAAACUGUCCCUAAUUCAAUUUGAAGCCAUUACCCCUGGUCUGUUGCUACAGACCCAUGUAUAAAGUCCCUUUCCAGCCUUCUUGUUUGAAGAGACUAUGCAACAGAAAGGAUCCUGGGUGACUCAUUCACAGCCUGAAUCUCAACAUUGAAGUGUUGCAAAACUGGCACUUAGGAAUAUCAGCUUUCCUGAAGGCAAAAGCAGCACAAAGAGACCACUAAUGGGAAAUAACAAAGUCCUGAUCAAUGUCUACUGAAAAUAAGCUGUAACCACCACAGUGAAGCAAUGCAAUAACAAAACAGCC